rnacentral:rRNA from 1 species
GAUGAACGCUGGCGGCGUGCCUAAUACAUGCAAGUCGAGCGAACGGACGAGAAGCUUGCUUCUCUGAUGUUAGCGGCGGACGGGCGAGUAACACGUGGAUAACCUACCUAUAAGACUGGGAUAACUUCGGGAAACCGGAGCUAAUACCGGAUAAUAUUUUGAACCGCAUGGUUCAAAAGUAAAAGACGGUCUUGCUGUCACUUAUAGAUGGAUCCGCGCUGCAUUAGCUAGUUGGUAAGGUAACGGCUUACCAAGGCAACGAUGCAUAGCCGACCUGAGAGGGUGAUCGGCCACACUGGGACUGAGACACGGUCCAGACUACUACGGGAGGCAGCAGUAGGGAAUCUUCCGCAAUGGGCGAAAGCCUGACGGAGCAACGCCGCGUGAGUGAUGAAGGUCUUCGGAUCGUAAAACUCUGUUAUUAGGGAAGAACAUAUGUGUAAGUAACUGUGCACAUCUUGACGGUACCUAAUCAGAAAGCCACGGCUAACUACGUG